AGAGGAGGAGAUCGCGGCGUAUGAGCUUGUUGGUGGAGUUCCUGUCCCCCAAGCCUGCGACGAGUAGCCGGUUCGAGAGGACGACCGCUCACAUUGGGUCUGAGAUACGGCUCAGACUCCUACGGGAGGCAGCACUGGGCAAUAUCGUGCAAGAGUCAACAGUCUGGCGUAGCGACGCAGCGUGCGGGAGGAAGUCCUUCGGGGUGUAAUGCGCUAUCAGGUGGGAAGAUCUUCGCGAGUCCAUCACAAGGCUCGCUACUGACGGUACCAUCAGAGGAAGCGCCGGCUAACUCCGUGCCAGCAGCCGCGGUAAGACGGGGGGCGCAAGCGUUGUUCGGAAUUACCGGGCUUAAACCGCGGUCAGCCGCUUCGCUAAGUCUUCUGUGAAACUCCGGACCUCAACUCCGGACAUGCAGAAGAUCCUCGCGAAUUAGAGCCCGGUAGAGGCGAGUGGAAUUCCUGGUGUAGCGGUAGAAUGUGUAGAUAUCAGGAAGAACCACAGUGGAGAAGGCGUCUAGGUCGCGCGGCUCUGAUGCUCUCCGCGAGAGCGUGGGGAGCACACUAGAUUAGAU
rnacentral:rRNA from 1 species